GUACACGCUGUGACUAGCAUAUCAAUAAGCGGAGGAAAAGAAACUAACAAGGAUUCCCCUAGUAACGGCGAGUGAAGCGGGAAGAGCUCAAAUUUGAAAUCUUAAAGGGUUUCCCUUUACGAAUUGUAGUUUAAAGAAGUGUUUUCUGUUGAGGUUUUGGUAAAAGUUCUUUGGAAUAGGACAUCAUAGAGGGUGAGAAUCCCGUAUUUGACCUUUACCUUUCAACUUUGUGAUACACUUUCAAAGAGUCGGAUUGUUUGGGAAUGCAGUCCAAAAUGGGUGGUAAAUUUCAUCUAAAGCUAAAUAUUGGCGAGAGACCGAUAGCGAACAAGUACCGUGAGGGAAAGAUGAAAAGAACUUUGAAAAGAGAGUUAAACAGUACGUGAAAUUGUCAAAAGGGAAGCGUUUGACACCAGUGUUGUUUUUCUGAAAAUCAAUUAAAGAACUGUUUAUGCUAAGCUGUUUAGACUUUAUCAGCUAUCUGUUUAGUUUUGAGCUUUUCUUUAAUGCACUUUUCAGUUAACAAGUCAACAUCAAUUUCUUUUGCUGUAAAAAAGCUUGAGGAAGGUGGCUUGAGAUUCGUCUUAAGUGUUUAUAGCCUCUUGCCUAUGCAGUCGGAGAGAUUGAGGUCUGCAGCGUAGAUCCUUCGGGGCUAAAUGCAUUUGUGCUAAGUUAUAGCAUUUUAUAGACAACUUGUUGACUAUGAUUUGUCUUGUAGCUUACUCGCUUAUGUUAUUUUACCUACGCUUAGGAUGUUGAAGUCAUCGUAUCGCGC
rnacentral:rRNA from 1 species